GGUAAUAUGGCUGAGUUAAGCGGCGGUUUGUAGCUCCGACGACAGGGAAUAAUGCCCCCUUUUUACCA
rnacentral:tRNA from 1 species